rnacentral:rRNA from 1 species
CAAGUCGAGCGAGAAAGGGUAGCAAUACCUGAGUACAGCGGCGCACGGGUGAGUAACACGUGGAUAACCUGCCUCAAAGUGGGGAAUAACACCGGGAAACCGGUGCUAAUACCGCAUAUUCUGACGAAGUCUGCGGAUUUUGUCAGGAAAGGAGCAAUUCGCUAUGAGAGGGGUCCGCGGCUGAUUAGCUAGUUGGUGAGGUAAUGGCUCACCAAGGCCACGAUCAGUAGCCGGUCUGAGAGGACGGUCGGCCACACUGGAACUGAGACACGGUCCAGACUCCUACGGGAGGCAGCAGUGGGGAAUUUUUCGCAAUGGGGGCAACCCUGACGAAGCAAUGCCGCGUGGAUGAUGAAGUCUCUUGGGACGUAAAAUCCUUUCGACGGGGACGAAGCCGCAAGGUUGACGGUACCCGUAGAAGAAGCCCCGGCUAACUCCGUGCCAGCAGCCGCGGUAAUACGGGGGGGGCAAGCGUUGUUCGGAAUUACUGGGCGUAAAGGGUGCGUAGGCGGCUCUCUAAGUCGGAUGUGAAAACUCUGGGCUCAACCCAGAGCCUGCAUCCGAAACUGGAGGGCUAGGGUUUUGGAGGGGAAAGCGGAAUUCCAGGUGUAGCGGUGAAAUGCGUAGAUAUCUGGAGGAACACCGGUGGCGAAGGCGGCUUUCUGGACAAAUACCGACGCUGAGGCACGAAAGCUAGGGGAGCAAACAGGAUUAGAUACCCUGGUAGUCCUAGCCCUAAACUAUGGAUACUUGCUGUGGGGGGGGAUUGAAGCCCCUUGUGGCGAAGCUAACGCAUUAA